rnacentral:rRNA from 1 species
GUGAACGCUGGCGGUAGGCCUAACACAUGCAAGUCGAACGGCAGCACCGGAGAGCUUGCUCUCUGGGUGGCGAGUGGCGGACGGGUGAGGAAUACAUCGGAAUCUGCCCAGUCGUGGGGGAUAACGUAGGGAAACUUACGCUAAUACCGCAUACGACCUUCGGGUGAAAGAGGGGGAUCGCAAGACCUCUCGCGAUUGGAUGAGCCGAUGUCGGAUUAGCUAGUUGGCGGGGUAAUGGCCCACCAAGGCGACGAUCCGUAGCUGGUCUGAGAGGAUGAUCAGCCACACUGGAACUGAGACACGGUCCAGACUCCUACGGGAGGCAGCAGUGGGGAAUAUUGGACAAUGGGCGCAAGCCUGAUCCAGCCAUACCGCGUGGGUGAAGAAGGCCUUCGGGUUGUAAAGCCCUUUUGUUGGGAAAGAAAUCUUUCAGGCUAAUACCCUGGGAGGAUGACGGUACCCAAAGAAUAAGCACCGGCUAACUUCGUG